UCAAUUGUAUAGACAUCUUGUAAUUACCUAAUAGUUUUACUUUUUAGUUUUCUCCUUUGUAAACUUUUCCUUUUUGCUAAUAAAAGAGUCUAUAUUCCCUUCCGCUCAUACAAUCAAAUCCCUUCCCUCCCCCCAAAUUGGUAUCAGAGGUGACGGUGUAACGACUUUCUGGAGUAAUAAUAUCGUAAUAUUCAUUAUGGAAGAAGGAUAUUGGUAUUUCCUAAUGGAAACAUCCAGGAGGAAAGAGAUGAAGAAUCUGUGAAGCUAUUAAAAAAGAUUGUUGAAAUGGAGAUAGAAGAAUUUCCAUCUCAUAUUACAGAAAAAAUUAAAAAUACAUGGGAAACUUGGAACUCACCACCAAGACUUUCAUCAGAUUCUUUACAUUUGGAUGAGAUUGAAGAAAUGAAUCUCAAUAAUAUGCAAGAAGGUUGAAGUCAACAAAGAUAGCAACCUGAAAGAAUGGCAACCCACAUACCAACAAAAAGUUUGGCAAUGUGGAAAUCAUGAUGAUGUAAGCCAUGAUGGAAGCAACCAUGAAGGCUAAUCAAUGACAUCCAGAUGUAGAAAAAUGUCUUGCAAUGUGGAAGAUACCAUCAAACCAAUGAUGGAAGCAAGCAUUUCACAAGCAAGUGAUGGAAUCAGCCAUUAAUUUAAGCAUGCAACGUGGAAACAACCAAAACCAUGUAAUUAAAGAUACAAGAAGACAAAUGAGACGUGGAAGUAGCCACUUCCAUUUGAAAUCGAAUCCUUAUUAGAAACACUGUUCAGGAUUCAAAAUACAAUGGUAUAGAAUUUUUAAUCUCCUCUAUAAAUAAAGAGGAAAGAUCAAUUGUAUAGACAUCUUGUAAUUACCUAAUAGUUUUACUUUUUAGUUUUCUCCUUUGUAAGCAUUUCCUUUUUGUUAAUAAAAGAGUCUAUAUUCCCUUCCGCUCAUACUCUCAAAUCCUUUCCCUUCCCCCAGAUUGGUAUCAGAGGUGCCGGUGUAAUGACUUUCUGGAGUAAUAAUAUCGUAAUAUUCAUUGAAUUGAUUUAUUAUCACAAGCGCAUUAUCUUCUCCAUGAUGAUGUUUAUAAAUUAUGGACGGAUGGAAGAAGGAUAUUGGCAUUACCUAAUGGAAACUUCCAGGAGGAAAGAGAUGAAGAAUCUGUGAAGCUGUUAAAAAAUAUUGUUGAAAUGGAGAUAGAAGAAUUUCUAUCUCAUAUUACAGAAAAAAUUAAAAAUACAUGGGAAACUAGGUACUCACCACCAAGACUUUCAUCAGAUUCUUUACAUUUGGAUGAGGUUGAAGAAAUGAAUCUCAAUAAUAUGCAAGAAGGUUGAAGUCAACAAAGAUAAGCAACCUGAAAGAAAGGCAACCCACAUACCAACAAAAAGUUUGGCAACGUGGAAAUCAUGAUGAUGUAAGCCAUGAUGGAAGCAACCAUGAAGGUUAAUCAAUGACAUCCAGAUGCAGACAAAAAGUCUUGCAACGUGGAAGAUAUCAUCAAACCAAUGAUAAUGCAAGCAAUGAUGGAAGCAACCAUGACACAAGCAAGUGAUGGAAGCAGCCAUUAAUUUAAGCAUGCAACGUGGAAACAAUCCAGAGCAUGCAAUUAAAGAUACAAGAAAACAAAUAAGACGUGGAAGCGGCCACAUCCAUUUGAAACUGAAUCCUUAUCAGAAACACUGUUCGGCAUUCAAAAUACAAUUGUAUAGAAUUUUUAAUCACCUUUAUAAAUAGAGAGGAAAGAUAAAUUGUAUA